AGUGAACGCUGGCGGUAGGCCUAACACAUGCAAGUCGAACGGCAGCACAGUAAGAUCUUGCUCUUACGGGUGGCGAGUGGCGGACGGGUGAGGAAUACAUCCGAAUCUACUUUUUCGUGGGGGAUAACGUAGGGAAACUUACGCUAAUACCGCAUACGACCUACGGGUGAAAGCAGGGGAUCUUCGCACCUUGCGCGAUUGAAUGAGCCGAUGUCGGAUUAGCUAGUUGGCGGGGUAAAGGCCCACCAAGGCGACGAUCCGUAGCCGGUCUGAGAGGAUGAUCGGCCACACUGGAACUGAGACACGGUCCAGACUCCUAAGGGAGGCAGCAGUGGGGAAUAGUAGACAGUGGGCGCAAGCCUGAUCCAGCCAUACCGCGUGGGUGAAGAAGGCCUUCGGGUUGUAAAGCCCUUUUGUUGGGAAAGAAAAGCAGCAGGUUAAUACCCCGCGGUUCUGACGGUAACCAAAGAAGAAGCACCGGCUAACUUCGUG
rnacentral:rRNA from 1 species